AAUAACCAACAAAUAAAUUAGCUUUUUUUAAAAUUGGAAUUGGCCAAGAAAAAUCAAAAUAUGUGCAUCACUAAUAAAAAAAAUAUUUAAAAAAGCAUUAUUUUAACUGUUUUUCACUGUAAAAAACAUGCAGUUUUAAGAAGCAGUGUACUAGUUUUCUUCAACUUAAUUUGUUUUUUUAUGUGGUUAAUAUUAAUGCAACUAUCAGCGCACUUUUUAUUAUUAUUAUUAUUAUUAUUAAUUCAGCCCGCAUAUGGUUAUUUUUUUCCAAUCCGGCCCUCAACCUAAAAUGAGUUUGACACCACUACUCUCGGGUUUAAGCUACAUGCUGUUUUAGGAUGAAUGAAUUCUGAAAUAUGAAUUUGUCAAAAUAAGUGUGUGUAUGCUUUGAAAAGUGAUGUUAAAUUGUUAUCUUGAUUUACCACUGUGGGUGUCUAAUAAUCGUUUGGUGCAGAUUUGAAUUUGUUGAUUAUAGAAAAGUUUUAUUUUUCCUCCUCUAAUUGUAGCUUUUUAUUCAUAGCCUUGUUUUUAUUAAGCCAUAUGAAAAAGCAAUGUUUUAAAAGAUGUUUCAAAAAUCUUUCUAACAGUUUCUGGGGGGGGGUUUGAGCUCAGUUUUCUGUUUGUUCAAAUGUUUUUUCCUGUAUAUUAUAUAUAAAACUGAUAUUAAACUUUUUUUAACCCAAGUUCCCACAUUUUGUCACCUGUUUCACCCCUGAUAAGCAUCUAACUGUCCAGAAGGGUUAGCUUAAGUCUUAAGUGCUUUGCUAGAACAUCUUGCACAGAUAAUUUUCUUCCAAGUUAGUACAAACACAAGAGGAUUCACACACUCUAACUGCCAGUGGUUCACCUGGGCCUUAUUCAUUGAGACUACAAGAAAAUUGACACAAAUAAGUCAAUAGGCUUGUUGUCUGUAUCAAAGUACACUGAGAGCGAUUGGAGAGCACAGGACUCUAUGCUUUUGAAUCGCUCUUGCGGUACUUUGAUGUGACAACGUUAAGCGUAACAGGCUUGAAUGUACAUUUGAUUUAUAAAAAAAUUUAAAAAAACUGAGGAUAUUUUUUCCUCCUCAUUUCAGAACACCGCUUUACACCACUGCUGAAGGAGGGGUACUCUCCCGGGUCAGUGUGAGUUUUUUAAAAGGUUUUGUUUAAACAUUGCUGCUGGCUAACACAUAACUUCCAAGUACAAUGGGAUGGGUGAACACAAACUCACAGGCAUGAAAUGGCUGAGACAGGAUAACUGCUAAUUACCAAACAGAUGUCAAUCAAUCAAGCAUCAUCCAAAAACACAUUUUAUUUAGUUAUGGAUUUAAGAUGGUAUAAUCAUGUUUGCAAUUAUAUUAAAAUCAAAGAAACAACAAUACUUUAAUAAUAACUGUAUAAUAUAAUAACUGGGUGGGGCCUUUUCAUCAUAGUGGGUGGGCCUAUGUCCUCUAGGCCCAUCCGUUGGCUAUCACUGCUUGAUUAGCUUCCCAUUGUUGCUUGUAAAUUUGAUAAUGCUCAACACCACUGGAUCAGAGCACUGUCAUUGCCAAUGUAAAGCCAUUUUACCAUGACAAUAAAGCUACUUGAAUCUGUAUUUGUUAAUCACGGGCUGCGUCCGAAACCGCCUACUCAAUGAGUAGGUACUUAAUUUCAAUAAGUACUUACUUAACGAGCGCCAAAAGAGUAGGUACUUGACAGCCAAAUCUCGUUGAGUAUGCGAGAUCCGAAAAUAAUCCGCCAUGUUGACGUUAUCAUGUGACCUACGAUGUUAUCACAAGUGCAACAACUUAAAAGAUAAGUGACAGUUUUAAUUCUUAUAUCUGUUAAUAUCUUGAUAUUGAUUAAACUGCUUAUUUUGUGGUUUUGUUGAAGAAACAGCUGCCAGUAAUUUUGUAAUUGUAGUAGGCUACAACUAAUAUAUUUUGGGUUAAAGUUCUUAUAUUUUUAUAAUGUGAGUUUAUUUUUUGUUACAAAUACCCAAAUUCGUGUGAAUAUGUUAUUAAUUUCUUUAUUUUAUAUGCAAAAAUGUCCAUCCACAAGCAUAAAUCAAAACUUUUCCCCUUUUUCUUGUUGAAUUAGCUCUAGUUUCAUCCCUCAGGCUUACAAAUAAUAAAUAAAAUAAAUACUUUCAUGCAUUAUGAUGUAUUCAAAAUAUUUAACCUUGUCAUCAUGCUUUAUGUGUGUAUAUAAUUUCAAACGAUGAUGUAUACAAACACAUUUUUAUGUUUUUUUUUUUUUUCAUUAUUAUUGUUCAUUGUUAAAGAUACAACUGGUAUUUUCCCUGAUCUUGUAUGUUAUUAUAGGUCCUGCAAUAAAAUAAAGAUGAGUUACAGGUGCACUAACACCUCACAGCACCAGUAACUCCACAACCCUACCUAGUGCGGUUUCCCUCAGUGUUAGCGAUGUCUGAAGCCAAAGAAGACAUCAGCAGCUGCUCGAAGAUCUCUCCUUUGGAGAAGACUGUUGAUUUUAUACUCAAAAAAUUCCUGCUUCCAUCUCAACACAGCUGUGCCAAUUCUGCAGCUUUAUUCUGAUUAAGCAGCUGAUGAACACCUUCAUCCAUCAUGUCCCUCACUGCUGCUCUUCUCAAUGGGGACAUCGUUGAUCCAGAGGAUGAGGAAGACCAUGAUGAUGAUCCUCUGAACCCCACAAGCUUGAAGCAAGAGUGGGAGAAGAUGUGUGGGGCAAUCUGGCUCUGCUGUGUUUGCAGUAAUACAAAAGCAGUCAUUUCAUGUGUCAUUCAUGUGCUCUCCAUCAGCAUGACUGAAUAAACAGAUUAAAACUUUUUACACUU